GCCACGGCUAACUACGUGCCAGCAGCCGCGGUAAUACGUAGGUGGCGAGCGUUGUCCGGAUUUACUGGGCGUAAAGGAUGCGUAGGUGGAAACUUAAGUGGGAUGUGAAAUCCCUGGGCUCAACCCAGGAACUGCAUUCCAAACUGGGUAUCUAGAGUGCAGGAGAGGAAAGCGGAAUUCCUAGUGUAGCGGUGAAAUGCGUAGAUAUUAGGAAGAACAUCAGUGGCGAAGGCGGCUUUCUGGACUGUAACUGACACUGAGGCAUGAAAGCGUGGGGAGCAAACAGGAUUAGAUACCCUGGUAGUCCACGCCGUAAACGAUGGGUACUAGGUGUAGGGGGUAUCAACUCCCCCUGUGCCGUCGCUAACGCAGUAAGUACCCCGCCUGGGGAGUACGGUCGCA
rnacentral:rRNA from 1 species